rnacentral:rRNA from 1 species
UACGGGGGGAGCAAGCGUUGUUCGGAUUUACUGGGCGUAAAGGGCGCGUAGGCGGCCACCGCAAGUCAAUUGUGAAAUCUCCGGGCUUAACUCGGAAAGGUCAACUGAUACUGCGGGGCUAGAGUGCGGAAGGGGCAACUGGAAUUCUCGGUGUAGCGGUGAAAUGCGUAGAUAUCGAGAGGAACACCUGCGGCGAAGGCGGGUUGCU